rnacentral:rRNA from 1 species
UACGUAGGGGGCAAGCGUUGUCCGGAAUCAUUGGGCGUAAAGAGCGUGUAGGCGGCUUGGCAAGUCUGGUGUGAAAUCUUGCGGCUCAACCGCAAGCGGUCACUGGAAACUGCCUCGCUAGAGUCCGGAAGAGGAGAGCGGAAUUCCUGGUGUAGCGGUGAAAUGCGCAGAUAUCAGGAGGAACACCAAUGGCGAAGGCAGCACUCUGGGACGUGACUGACGCUGAGACGCGAAAGCGUGGGGAGCAAACAGG